UACGGAGGGUGCAAGCGUUAAUCGGAAUCAUUGGGCGUAAAGAGCGCGUAGGCGGUCUUCUAUGUCAGGUGUGAAAGCCCGGGGCUCAACCCCGGAAGUGCACUUGAAACUGGGAGACUUGAGUAUGGGAGAGGGAAGUGGAAUUCCUGGUGUAGCGGUGAAAUGCGUAGAUAUCAGGAGGAACACCGGUGGCGAAGGCGACUUCCUGGACCAAUACUGACGCUGAGGCGCGAAGGCGUGGGGAGCAAACAGG
rnacentral:rRNA from 1 species